CUACUCUCACUUCGGAGUUCGGAUGGUGUCUAGCAACGUUGGGUACCUCGUUUCUUGUGUGUGUGAGUCGUGUGAGUGUGUGAGCGAGUGGUUGCUGUUUACGAUGUGUUCAUAUAUCGCUUUGUAGUGCUGUAAUGUGCAAAUUAGCGGACUUUAUAGCGGCUCUCUAUUUUCCGUCGUUGUCUUUCGAGCAGCGCCUGUUGUUCCGGUAAAAAUCGAGUUGAAUGAAUCGCCACAGCCCCAACGUAUAUCGCGCAGUGUUGACCAAGACCAAGUCAAGCAGGAAUUCUGGCAUGGUAUGUGGCUGCACGAAGGAUUCCGGAAAAGAAAAACAACAACAUGGCUAAUAGGAUGUUGCUGCCCAGGGAGUCCUGGCGAAGAGGUUUACUCAUUCCAGAAGCAAGAAUUGUAUCAUUGUAAGGCGAAUGGAAAUAAACUGACAUCGACUGAGA